rnacentral:rRNA from 1 species
AUUGAACGCUGGCGGCAGGCCUAACACAUGCAAGUCGAGCGGAGCGGCGGACGGGUGAGUAAUGCCUAGGAAUCUGCCUGGUAGUGGGGGAUAACGUCCGGAAACGGGCGCUAAUCCCGCAUACUAGAAGAUGCGCCUAGUGCGGAUUCGCUAGUUGGUGGGGUAAAGGCCUACCAAGGCGACGAUCCGUCACUGGUCUGAGAGGCUGAUCAGUCACAAUGUAACUGAGACACGGUGCAGACUCCUACGGGAGGCAGCAGGGGGGAAUAGUGGACAAUGGGCGAAAGCCUGAUCCAGCCAUGCCGCGUGUGUGAAGAAGGUCUUCGGAUUGUAAAGCACUUUAAGUUGGGAGGCGUUACCAACAGAAUAAGCACCGGCUAACUUCGUGCCAGCCGCCGCGGUAAUAC